UGAGCUCACCCAAGAUGACUCCUUUGGGUUUCUGAUUCACGCAACAAACGUUUAUUGAGCGCCUGCUGUAUAUAUGUGCCAGAGAACUCUGCCCUGGCGCUCCCAUUCACCUCGUCAAGUCUCCAAAGCUCUUAAGGAUUUACACACCUCAUGAAACCAGGAGCAUUAUGAUCCCUACUUGACGGCUGAGGAAACCAUCCCCAAUAACCCACUGUGUAACUAGCAAACGGGAAACCAGCGUUGCAAUCCAGCUGAACAGAACCAUCAGACUUAACAGUGGGUUCUCGAUCGCUGCUGUGAUCACCUGAGGACAUCAGACCCUUGCUCCUUCACCCUUCCAAAGUGGACUCUGCCAGUGAUUCUCCAGGGAGUUUCCAGAAGCCUUCCGUCUCAGACUGGGUAGUAUGGUUCAUCGUCUUGUUGAGAGAUGCCAACUUCUUGGACUGCACAGUGCUGGUUCCUCGAGCUCUCUGGCCAGCAGACAACCAUUGUGGCCUAUCCAGCUUCUGGUUAUGUAAACCAAUGUAAUAGUUCCCUUUUUAUAAUCCUACUUCUUAUUGAUACUGUUCUGCUAGAGAACUUGAAUACAGGGAAGGUGUUAAUAUUUAGUUCCUCAGCAAAGUGUGGGGCAGGGGAGAAAGUUACUUUUAAGAAUAGAUUAAAUAUGACUGCUAGUUCACAGUAAUUUAAAAAAAAUAAUGGGGUUGGGCUUGGCUUAACAUGAAUGGUCCUCUGGUUCAAUGCCCAGCACCAAAACAAUAAAUUAGUAACAAGAAAGAAAUUGUGUGCUGGGGAUAUAGCUCAGCUGGUAGAGUGCUUGCCUUGCAAGCACAAGGCCCUGGGUUCAAAUCCCCAGCACCGCAAAAAAAAAAGAAAGAAAGAAAUUGUUUGGGCUGGGGCACGUACCCGUCAGUGUAGAAUGCUUGCCUAGUGUGUAGAAGCCUUGGACUUGGUCCCCACUACCUGGAAAGGAAAGAAGGACAUGUUACAGACUGUGAAGCUACAUUCAAGUGAGCUACAUCACCCUGGAUGCAUCCAGGACUUAGCAACAAUUUAAUACUUUGUACUAGGAAUUGGUUAAACAAAUUAUGCUACGAUCCUUCUUAUUCUAUUUAAUUUUUUAGCUGUUGAUGGACCUUUACUUUAAUCAUUUAUUUAUAUUUGGUGCUGAGACUCAAACCCAGUGCCUCACACAUGCUAGACAAGUGCUCUACCAGUGAGCUACAACCCCAGCAAAACAAUCUCUCAAUGAAAUACACAAACACACACACAGAGGCAUGAGUACAAACGUGAAAACUUUACCCUGAGUGUCUACAAAGUAUAUAAAAAUUAUCUACAGAAAGCAUAUCCAUACAUGUGGAUAUAUCUUUAGAAGAUAGUAGGUAUAGCUAAGACCAAACCAUCCGCUGUGGUUGUUUAUGGAUAAAGGAUUUCAGUGGGUUUGUUUUGUAAAUUUUGUUUCCAUCUGUUUUGUUUGACCUUAAUUAUGCAUAUUUUCUUUUUCCCCUGAAUCACCCUAUAUUUUUGUUCUAAAGGACAAUAUAAACCACACAUCUGGCUUGGCAUAGUGACACACGCCUGUAACCACAGUGACUCAGGAGGCUGACUGAGGCAGGAGGAUGGAGAGUUCAAAGCCAGCCUCAGCAAAAGAGAGGUGCUCAGCAACUCAGUGAGAGCCUAUCUCUAAAAGA